CGGAGGCAGCAGUGGGGAAUAUUGGACAAUGGGGGCAACCCUGAUCCAGCAAUGCCGCGUGAGUGAUGAAGGCCUUAGGGUUGUAAAGCUCUUUUACCCGCGACGAUGAUGACGGUAGCGGGAGAAUAAGCCCCGGCUAACUUCGUGCCAGCAGCCGCGGUAAUACGAAGGGGGCUAGCGUUGUUCGGAGUUACUGGGCGUAAAGGGCGCGUAGGCGGCGCACCAAGUCAGGCGUGAAAGCCCUGGGCUCAACCCGGGAAUUGCGCUUGAGACUGGUGUGCUUGAGUACGGGAGAGGAUAGUGGAAUUCCCAGUGUAGAGGUGAAAUUCGUAGAUAUUGGGAAGAACACCGGUGGCGAAGGCGGCUAUCUGGACCGUAACUGACGCUGAGGCGCGAAAGCGUGGGGAGCAAACAGGAUUAGAUACCCCGGUAGC
rnacentral:rRNA from 1 species